CUCAGUAGUAAUACCCCAAGACCUUCAAAAUUAUCGGAUAUUUCCCGAGAGUUUCGUUGCGUAGCAACGAGAGGGAUAAGGUUCGCAGGUUAAAAAACCCGAGCGCGAAGCGCGAGGGUUUUUCUGCGAAUCUUAUCCCGAUCGGUGCUACGCAGGGAAACUGGAGGGAAAUAUCCGAUUAAUUUUGAAGGUCGAGGGGUAUUUGGCUGGAUUAUUUUUUUCAUUCCAAUUUCAAACAAUUAAAUGUGUGGCAUUUCACGUCAUAUAGUAUGGUUGUUCACUCGUAGUCGUGGCUUCUCCAGCGUAUAUUUUUUGUCUGCACAAAAUGCAGAGAAUUAUUUCCAAAUUGUGGCUUUUGUCUUCACUGUAUUAUUAGGAACAUUUUUAAAAAUUUUUUGAUCAAUAAUCUCCAAGGAUUCCCGUCCAAAUCUGAUCAUGUCGAGGUAAAGUCUUUGAACUUGAUUUAUUGUAAUGACAGUUUUGGGGUUUGAAACGCGUACAAAUUGUUUAUCGGAUAUUUUCAUUGCUUAGCAACAAACAGGGAAAUAUCCGAAAAAUAUCCGAAGUAAAACUCUCUUACUUGUACCACGUGACGGGAAAUGCCACCAUUUGAUUGGUUGAAAUUGGGAUGAAAAAAAUAAUCAAAAAAAAAUUUCUAACAAAAACAGACAAAAUGAUCAAUUACUUAAAAAUACGAUACCACUCUCUCGAACUUCGAAGGCGAUAGAUGUGAGUAAUAGAAGUGUGUGGUGACCUUCGAUAGUGACUCGAUGAGUGGGGAUAUAUUCGCGAGGAAGAGAAUGAAGAGGGGAGGGCUAGUAAACCACCAGGGGAAAAGAGAGGGGAUUACAUUACUGAGUCCCAGUUGAAGUUUAUUGAACUCCGUAGACUCGAGUGCUGGGCCACACGACAGGCACAUUAACAUGUACACGUAUACAAGUGCAUAUGUAUCUGUUGUGCUGAAGCAAGCUGAAAUUGUUUGACAGGUGAGAUGUAGGAGAAUGCCAAACCGUUGAGACGGCAAGUUAGCGGUAAAGUCGAUGGCCUAUUCCAACCCGUCCGUGAGCAGGCCAACUUGCGUUAGAAAAUACAGUCACGACAGACGACUAUAAUAACGACUACAAGGCUGUUGGACGGGUAUACUCCUUAUUUUUUUUUUUUUCUUCACACACAAUCGUCAUACUUUCGCUCUCGGCGAAUCUUUUUUGAUGAACAACGUACAGCAACUGGUUUCUUUUUAUUUUUUUUUCCAGACUG